GAGUUUGAUCUUGGCUCAGAACGAACGCUGGCGGCAUGCCUAACACAUGCAAGUCGAGCGGCAGCGCGGGGCAACCUGGCGGCGAGCGGCGGACGGGUGAGGAACACAGUCGGAAAUCUACCCAGUCGUGGGGGAUAACGUAGGGAAACUUACGCUAAUACCGCAUACGACCUGAGGGUGAAAGCAGGGGACCGCAAGGCCUUGCGCGAUUGGAUGAGCCGAUGUCCGAUUAGCUGGUUGGUGAGGUAAAGGCUCACCAAGGCGACGAUCGGUAGCUGGUCUGAGAGGAUGAUCAGCCACACUGGAACUGAGACACGGUCCAGACUCCUACGGGAGGCAGCAGUGGGAAUUUUGGACAAUGGGGCAACCCUGAUCCAGCAAUGCCGCGUGAGU
rnacentral:rRNA from 1 species